CGAGUUGGCCGGGCGACCGCGCCGCCGCGCCCCGUGAGGGCAGGCGCCGAGGAAAGUCCGGACUCCGCAGGGCAGGGUGGUUGUUAACGGCAACCCGGGGUGACCCGCGGGACAGUGCCACAGAAAACAGACCGCCCCGCGAUAAGCGGGGUAAGGGUGAAACGGUGGUGUAAGAGACCACCAGCGUCCCGGGCGACCGGGACGGCUAGGUAAACCCCACCCGGAGCAAGACCAAGAGGGGGUCACGCGCCCCUGCGCAGGCGUUCGAGGGCGGCCCGCCCGAUGCCUGCGGGUAGGUCGCUUGAGCCUGCCGGCGACGGCAGGCCGAGAUGGAUGGUCGCUCAUCGCGGCGCCGAGAGGUGCCGCGGGACAGAAUCCGGCUUACAGGCCAACUCGUCCG
rnacentral:RNase_P_RNA from 1 species